rnacentral:tmRNA from 1 species
GGGGAUGACUGGUUUCGACGGAUUCGUAGAAGCUUCAGUUGCGUGCCGAGGUUGGACUCCAGGCCUCGUAAAAAGGAGCCCAAAAUUAUAAAUGCUGACGAAAGUUACGCACUGGCUGCAUAAUCAGCCACGUCUCUACCCUGAAGCUUGUUAGGGGAUAGAGGCGACGACAACAAGCUGGCGCUAAUUUCGGGGAUCCGGGAGGCGGCGUAAGAUUUAACAGGAUCCUAGCGACCAACGUAGCCAUGGCAGACGGCAGCAGCGGCGGCGAAUCUUUUAAAGUCCGCCUACGCACGUAGACGCUGCUGUGACUCGCAUUCGGACGGGGGUUCAACUCCCCCCAUCUCCACCA